rnacentral:misc_RNA from 1 species
CCGAGUGAGGGCCUUCCGGGUCCAACCUCCCACCCGUGUCUAUCGUACCUUGUUGCUUCGGCGGGCCCGCCGUUUCGACGGCCGCCGGGGAGGCCUCGCGCCCCCGGGCCCGCGCCCGCCGAAGACCCCAACAUGAACGCUGUUCUGAAAGUAUGCAGUCUGAGUUGAUUAUCAUAAUCAGUUA